CCACCUGUGUGAGACGCCAGCGUCAUGCUGCUGCAGUUGUUGCUGGCAUUUAAUAAACAAGCUAAUAAACUCGUUAUCAGUUUGACGACUUUAUGUGGGUAUUAAUGGAGUUUGGAGCCCCUUGCCGCCGCCAGUCAACGACUCUGCCCGUUUGCCGCUACUCUUCACCGGCCAUUGGUCGCAACACCUGUCGGCCUAGGAUGGGGACGUUUACCUGAUGGAGCUGCGGAUGCUAGCUAGUAGCUACGACUUUUCACUCUCACUUCAACCAACACUCGCCAAGGAAGGAAGCAGUUUCGUGGUAUCAGAUGGUUAGUUAUACCCUUUUGAUUCCCAGGGAUCUGAUUGGUGCAACUCUGCCCUGCACCCUGGGAAGUGGCGAGUGGUCCAUUGUCCUUAUAGAUGAGUUGGUUCCUGAACAGCAUGACCUCAUUCCCUCUCUGGGGAGAGGUCCCGAAGCACAACGGCGGGGUGUUGAAAACACACCCUACUAAGCUUGAUGUGUAAUAAUGGGUGGAGAGAUCGUAAAUGACAUAAUUUAACAUAUCCUUCAAAGGGCUGUUUGGUGUUUCAGCUUCCUGUCGCUGCCUGUAGACAAUGUGAAGACUGACAGAUGAGGACUGUAGCAGGAGGACACACAGAUGAUUCUGCUGCCGGAUUUUUAAAGCACAUCGAUUGCGCCAGCGUUAAAGAUCGCAGCCAAUGAGGUGUCGAGCAGGCCGACAUGCAGCUUCACUGAGUGGAAAGGGAGGCGAGUGCAGAACAUUAUCAACUCUGGCCCCAGGGACUGGGUCAUUGACCUGCUGUGCCAUCUCCCAGGGGUUAAACCUGUUCAGGAGCUCCCAGGACGACGAGCAGUAUGCGCUGCUGUGGGCACGUGCUGGCAACGUAAGCAACUUUCAGACACGCACUGGACAAGUUACAUGCUGGCUUCAUGUUUAAAGAAGCCAACAAGUCACUUUUCAAUAUUCUGAAAUAGGAUUUAACAGUCCAUCCAGGAUUUCGAGGCCUUUUGUUGAGAUUGUUGUAGCCCAAAAUGCCUAAUUUUGCGGGAGGUUUUGUAAAUAAAUUGCAAUAAAAGUUG